UAGAUUAUGUAUAUUAAUGCAGAAGGCUCUUAAGCUGAAUUUUUCAGUUUCAUCCUUCCAGAUCUACACCCUGUUUUACGAGUAAGGUUGCAGCAGUAGUAUAUUUUUUUUACUACUGACUGCACUGUCUGCACUAAGCUAAAUUAUGUAUUUUAAUUGUUGCUUUGUGCUUGACACAAUUGUUUCUCACCAUUCUUUGUUCUUUCCCAGUUACAGAAAACUCAAUAAGUUGGCCAUUUUAGAUGCUUAUUGAACUUGUCUGCGGCAACAACAUGCGUAUACCAAGAAAGCUCUUUUAUUUGUAAAAUUAGUAUCGAUGAUGGGUACAUAGCACCAACAGGGCAGGCCACGUCGGCCAGGAUGUCUUGUCUAGCCUAGCCAGGACAAAUGAACCGUUCUCAUGCGCGUUGAGUCGUUGCAAGAUAAGUAUAUAUGCUUAUUUUAAUAUGUUGUCGCCAUCAGAUUUACUUAGGCAAGCAUACAAUAUUAGCAGAUUAAUCAUUUUUAGGCUAUAGGUAUAUUACUACUACUAUU